rnacentral:rRNA from 1 species
AACCAAGAAAUUUAGUCAUUCUUUUACGGUAAAAAGACAGUUAGGCUGAAAACUAAAAGCCAUGAGAUUUUUAAUAUAGGAGUAAAAUCUAAGUAUUAAAAGAUAUUCCAGGCAUGGUUUAUUUAAGACGCUGAAUCUGUGACAACUUUAAGGGAAACUGGGAUUGGAUACCCCAUUAUUUUUAGUUGUAAAUUUAGUCUAAGCUUACCGGAGUACUACGAAUCAAAAAAUUUAAAACUCAAAGGGCUUGGCGGUGUUUUAGACCUCUCAGGGGAACCUGUCUCAUAAUCGACAAUCCGCGCUAAACCUGACCUUUUCUGGUAAUGCAGCCUGUAUACCGUCGUCGUCAGGUAACUUCUUAAAAUAUAGUAGUUAGCUAGAGAAUUGUAUUAAUUAGGACGUCAGAUCAAGGUGCAGCUAAUGAGAGGGUGAAGAUGGGUUACAAUUACAAAUUUGUAAUAACGGAAAGGCGUUUGAAAUUAAAUGCCUUAAAGGAGGACUUGAAAGUAAUUUUAAGUAAAUAAAUAAAAUGAAUAAGGCUCUGAAACGUGC